UAGGGAAUCUUCCGCAAUGGACGAAAGUCUGACGGAGCAACGCCGCGUGAGUGAAGAAGGAUUUCGGUUCGUAAAACUCUGUUGUUAGGGAAGAAAAAAUGUAUAGUAACUAUAUACAAAAGAGACGGUACCUAACCGAAAGCCACGGCUAACUACGUGCCAGCAGCCGCGGUAAUACGUAGGUGGCAAGCGUUGUCCGGAAUUAUUGGGCGUAAAGCGCGCGCAGGUGGUUUAGAAAGUCUGAUGUGAAAGCCCACGGCUCAACCGUGGAGGGUCAUUGGAAACUAAUAAACUUGAGUGCAGGAGAGAAAAGUGGAAUUCCUAGUGUAGCGGUGAAAUGCGUAGAGAUUAGGAGGAACACCGGUGGCGAAAGCGGCUUUUUGGCCUGCAACUGACACUGAGGCGCGAAAGCGUGGGGAGCAAACAGG
rnacentral:rRNA from 1 species